CUAAGGAUAUAACGGAACCGUCACAGUUGUUUUACUUUGCUCAGUUUUGAGAGGUCUAAUCUUCUCAAUCUGAUAUUUAUCUUUGCAGUGCCUAAUAUGUUGGGCCUAUAGCUCAGCUGGUUAGAGCGCACGCCUGAUAAGCGUGAGGUCGAUGGUUCGAGUCCAUUUAGGCCCACUAUUUAUUUUGCACAAAAGAUGACGUUGGGGCCUUAGCUCAGCUGGGAGAGCGCCUGCCUUGCACGCAGGAGGUCAGCGGUUCGAUCCCGCUAGGCUCCAUUGCGAUGAAAUCGCAAAAGAAUAGAAUUGUUCUUUGAAAACUGGAUAGUGUUUAACAUGUAAGAAAAGCAAGAAACCAAGAAAACAUCGCGUUUUAUUUCUUAAUGUAUUUCUUCACCAUGAGGUGAAUGAAGUAGUUAACAUGACCAUA
rnacentral:misc_RNA from 1 species